rnacentral:lncRNA from 1 species
AGGCAAUGGAUGCAAUGUCACUCUGGUGAUUAUGUUUCAUUAUAUAAGACUCCAUUUUAGCAGACUGAAGAGAGAAAUAUUAUCCUACUGGCUUUGAAAAUUCAAGCUGCCAUGUGGCAAGGAACUAUGGGCAGCCUUUGGGAACUACAAGCAGUUUCUAGGGCCUGAAGGGCGCCUCUAGCCACCAGUCAGUAGGAAGCCAGGGCCCUCAGUCAUACAGCUACAAAGAAGGGCAUUCUCCUGACAAUCUUGAAUGAGCCUGGAAGCAGAUUUUCUCUAGAUGGACUUCCAGAUGAGAACAUAACCCAGCCAGCACUUGGAUUACAACCUGCUGAGACCCUGAGUAGAGAAUCCAGCUAUGCUGUGCCAGGACUUCAAACCUACAGAAACCGUGAGGCUAUUUUGAUGGUAUUUCAACAAUCUUCACAGUCCCAUCAAGACACAGUAGAAAUCUGUUCACCACAGUGGCUUAACCAUCCUCAAGGAAAGUGUGUUCCUCAAAGGCCCAUCCAUAGAGUCUCUUCUCUUCAAAAGUCUCUAAGAUGAUUGUAUUGAAGGGGAAGAGAAGAAGGAGAGGGAGAGAGAGAAUCCCAAACAGGUUCCAUGCCCAGCACAGAGUCCAAUGCAAGCUUGAUCUGACCACCCUGAGAUCAUGACCCAAAAGGAAACCAACAGUCAGAUGCUUAACUGACUGAGCCACCCAGGCACCCCAAGACAUAAAUGGUUUUAGACCAUAUAUUACUGGACUUUUGUUCAGUCAAGAUGCCAUUUGUACUCCUUCUUAUUGUCACCAGAGUGUUAGUAAAUGAUGUUAGCCCUAUGAUUUAUGUUUCUG